rnacentral:lncRNA from 1 species
UUUUUUUUUUGCUUUUUUCAUUUUUUAUUUUUCUUUUUCUUUCUUUUUUUCGUUUUUCUUUUUUUUCUUUAUUCUGUUUCCUUUUCUUUCCUUUUCAAUAACACUUUUAGGUUCCAAAUAUGGUAGUCAAAGAUUCGUAACUGGAUCAAAGGAUUUGCAAAAGGUUGAUAGUGUUUGGGUAGCGAGAAUAAAAGCCCUCGACAUCCCAAUAGGAUAGAGUUAUUUGUAGAAAGCCUACAAAUAGUGCCUUUUUACUGCAUCUGCAUUCACAGUUGCUUCGGGAUCAUUUCCUUCGGCAUCUUCCAAGUAUAGUGCCCCUCUUAGAAACACAUUUCUAAUGAUAUAUGGGCAUUUCCAAUUAGGAGUGAAUUUUCCUUUCGCUUCCUGAUGAUAGGGAAGAAUGAGCCUUAUCACGAGUUGCCCCACUUUAAAAUUCCUGGGCUGCACUUUCUUGUUGUAGGCACGGGCCAUUCUUUGUUAGUAAAACUACCCGUGACAGACCACAGCCAUCUACUUUUCAUCAAUCAGUGCCAACUAUUCCAGACGGUUCUUGACCCACUCACUGUCUUCAAUUUCAACUUCAACAAUGGCCGGAGAGAAGGGAUUUCGACUUCUGUAGGUAUUACAGCUUUAGUGCCAUAGACCAAGAGGUAUGGGGUUGCUCCGAGCGAUGUGCGCACUGUAGUACAAUCUCCCAGCAGUGCAAAUGGCAGCCUUUCAUGCCACUGCCUUGAGCUUUGAAUCAUCUUUCUCAAAAUCUUUUUGAUGUUUUUGUUUGCUACGUUGACGACACCAUUGGCUUUAGGCCGAUAAGGAGUGGAGUUUCAAUGCUUUAUUUUGAAUUGUUCACAUUUCUCCUCCAUUAAAUGACUAUUCAAGUUUGCCGCAUUAUCUGUGUUGAUAGUUGCAGGAAUACUAAAACGGCAGAUAAGAUUGGAGUGCACGAAAUCUACCACAGCUUUCUUGGUGACAAAUUUGAGAGUGGUGGCUUCAACCCAUUUUGUGAAGUAGUUAAUGGAAACUAGUAUGAAUCUGUGACCAUUUGAGGCUUUGGUUUUGAUUGGCCCAAUGACAUCCAUGCCCCAGGAUAAGGUAUUGAGAUAGGAUGCAGUUCUGUGGGCGGUGCAUGAAUCAAAUCACCGUGCACCUGACAUUGAUGAUACUUCCGGAUAAAGCUGAAACAGUCUUUUUCCAUAAUUAUCUAAUAGUAGCCUAGUCGAAGGAUUUUCUUUGCCAAAACAUACCCGUUCACGAGGGGCCCGCAUACUCCUGCAUGCACUUUAUACAUGGUUCUUCCAUCCUCAUUUGUGUCAACACAUCUUAAAAAUUUGAGGUUCGGAGUCCUUUUGUACAAGAUAUCACCACUAAAAAAAACCACUUGCGUGCCGUCUAAUGGUUCACUUUUGGUCCCCACUGGCUUGCUUGGGGUAUUCUUUUGUUUUUAGAAAUCUUUUGAUUUCAUGAUACCAUGGCUGACUAUUUGGUUCUGCUUCAAAUGUGUUACAGUAACCAUGUCUUUCUCGAAUUUGGAUUUCCAGGGGAUCUAUGUGAGCAUUACAGGGGUAUGGCAGCAUUGAAACCAAGUUAGCAAGUGCAUCAGCCAGUUCAUUGUGGCAAUGAGGGAUGUACCUGAACUCUAUUGACUUGAAAAUCCUGCUAAGGUCUUCCAUAUGUUGCCUGUAAAGGAUAAGCUUGACAUCUCAGGUUUUCCAUUCUCUCUGAGUUUGCCGGAUAAUCAGAUUCGAAUCCCCUAUGAUUAACAAUUCUUCGAUAUCCUGGUCGAUUGCCAUAUUUAUACCCAUAAUGUAGGCUUCAUACUCGGCAGUGUUGUUUGUGUAGAAAUACCGAAGCUGGGUUGUGGCUGGGUAAUGAUGACCAGUGGGUGAGAUCAAAACUGCACCGAUUCUUACACCGUUCGCGUUUACCGCUCAAUCAAAAAACAUUUUCCAACUGGUAGUAUCCUUGAAUAUUUCCUCGACUGAAUUUACAUCUUUAUCCGGGAAGUAAGUGCUCAAAGAUUGGUAUUCAUCAUUAACCGGGUUAUUUGCCAAAUGAUCUGCCAAGCCUGUGCUUUCAUUGUCGUGCAAAGCAGGAUUUGCCAUUUUGCUAACCUUCCCAUGGGCAUUGGUUUCUGGAAUAUGUAUUUCAAAGGAUCCAACCUGGUUAUGAGGUAAGUGGUGUAGGCUUGCAAUAAUGUCUCAACUUCUGAGCCACCCAAGUUAAAGCACAACAGGUUCUUUCCAAUAAAGUGUACUUAACUUCAUAACUGGUGAACUUUUUACUCAAAUAGUAUAUUGUCUGCUCUUUCUUUCUGGUCAUAUCAUGUUGCCCGAGGACACAACCAAAAGAAUUCUCCAAGGCUGUAUACAAGAACAGGUGGGACCAGGAUUAGUGGGUUGGACAGAUAUUCUUCGAUUUUAUCAAAAGCUUCCUGACAUUCAUUGUCGAUUUGAUUGCCGCAUCUUUCUUCAUCAAUUUGAAUAUGGGUUCACACAUGGAUGUCAACUGAGCAAUGAACCGGCUGAUAUAGUUCAAUCUGCCUAAUAAAUUCAUCACAUCUUUCUUGUUUCUCGGAUGAGGUAAAUCCUGAAUAAAAUUAAUCUUUGUUGGAUCUAAGUCAAUACCUCUCCGGCUGACUAUAAAGCCAAGAAGUUUGCUCGAUGGGACACCUAAUGCACAUUUAUGCAACCGUUCAAAGAAUUUCCUCAAGUCCCGAAUGUGGUCAUCCUGGGCUUUGGACUUGAUGAGUAUAUCAUCCACAUACACCUCUAUUUCUUGGUGCAUCAUAUCAUGAAAAAUAGCAGUCAUAACCCUCAUGUAGUUUGCCCCCGCAUUCUUCAGACCAAAUGGCAUAACCCUAUAGUAGUAUGUCCCACAACGUGUGGUAAAAGCUGUCUUUUCUGCAUCUUCUUCAUCCAUCAACACCUAGUGAUAUCCUGCAUAACAAUCCACAAUGGACUAUAUCUCAUGUUUGGCGUAGUUAUCAACAAGGAUAUGGAUGUUUGGCAAAGGGAAGUUAUCUUUGGGACUUGCUUUGUUUAGAUCUCUGUAAUCCACACACACUCGGGUCUUCCUAUCUUUCUUUGGCACUGGAACGACAUUGGCUAGCCAUGUGGUGUAGGGAACUGCUCGCAUCACCCCUGCUUUCAAUUGUUUUGUGACUUCUUCUUUGAUCUUGUCUGUAACAUCAGUUUUAAACUUUCUUUUCUUUUGCUGGACAAGGGGGUAAUCGGGGUAAGUUGUCAAAUUAUGGACCACCAAAUCAACACUUAGUCCUGGCAUGCAAUCAUAUGACCAAACAAACACAUCUUUGAACUCAAACAAGAGUUGGAUUAAUGCAUCUCGGGUUUUUUUGUCUAUGUGAAUGCUUAUCUUGAUUUCUCUGAUUUCUUUAGAAUUUCCCAAAUUAACCGGCUCAGUGUGAUCUAAGUUUGGCUUAGGUUUACUCAGAAAUUAUAUUAGUUCUCGAUUUAUUUUCCUAAAAGCCUCUUCUUCAUUAUAUUCCGGUUCUUAGUUCAUUAUCUCAUAGUUGGACAACGUGUUUGGAUCUGGGCAUGAAGUCCGCAAGCAUGUCAUGUUAUUUAAAGCCACAUUAUUAGAACUAAAAGAGGAGAUAAAAAUAAAUAUUUCAUUUCAUUGAAUUUGGAAGAUAACGAGGUUUACAUGGGAAAUAAAAAUAUAUGAAACUAAAGAAAACAUCCGAGUUACACUUUGGAAUAACUCGUAAUGCAAAAGUGACGGGACAGUUCUACCAGGGCUCCCGCCUAAUUGGAAAUGGUGUAGCCUUCUAAUUUAUAGUUUGGCCUCAAGUCCCAUGUAUAGCACCUAAGCAAUGCUUGAGACUUCCCCUGUCUGGACCAUGUGGGUUUCAUAUAGUAUCUUCCUCAUUGCCCCACAGAUCUCAUCAAUUUCUUCGAUCGUAAAGUCCUCAUCUUCUUCUUCUUUAUUGUAUUUGGGCUUGACAAAUGUUCUAUACAAAUAUGGCACUGGCUAAGGCAAGACCUAUCUAUCAUUCCUUCUACCAUCUGCCUAUUUUAUAUCAGCUGGCAUGGACCAGAAGCCUACCCCAAAGAAAUUUUCCCUGGCAGUAAGGGUGAUAAGUUCAGCUAUUCCUUGCAAUGAUUUCCCGAGCCCCUUCCCAGGUUUGAAGCCAUGCCUGAUCAUUUCCUUGGAAACCAUGAAUAAUCCAUUUGAAAGGAAGGGUUGAGGAAAAGGGUUUCCUUCUUCGCACUGGUCUGCGACCACGAUCUCAAAAUCCUGAUAGACUAUGUGUUCACUCCCCUCUCUUGCUUCAAGACACGGGACCGAUGGCUUCCGAUAAAUUGAUUGCUCAUCUUCCCCCUGGACCACAAUCUCUUGAUCCUCAUGCUCAAAUUUCACUAUCUGGUGGAGAGUAGAAGGCACAGCCCCCGCUGCAUGAAUCCAAAGUCUCACUAAAAAAAAGUUGUAGGAAGUGUUCAUGUCCAAAAACCUGGAAGUUUACUUCGAAGUCUAUUGGGCCGAUACUUAGGAUCAGAUCAAUCUCUCCUAUUGUGUCCCUUUUUAUGCCAUCAAAGGCAUGUACACAAACAUUUUUGGGUUGGAUUCUCGCAGUACCAAUUUCCAUACGUUGCAGAGUUGAGAGUGGGAAAAUAUCUACCCCAGAUCCACCAUCUAACAUAACCCUUUUCACAUAGUACCAUUUUCAUUUGACUGUCAGGUGAAGGGCUUUGUUGUGCGGCCUUUUCUGGGGGGAAAAUCAUAUUUACUGAAGGAGAUUUGGUUGAUUGCGAGAAAUCAUUCUACCAUUCUCUCCAACUGCUCUCCAGUGGUUUCAAUAGGCACAUAUGCUUCGUUGAGGGUCUUGAUCAAUACCUUUUGAUGUUCAGUGGAGUUCAUCAACAGAGAUAAUAGAGAAACCUGAGCGGGAGACUUUCAAAGCUCGUCGAUUAUCUCAUAAUCUGCCAUUUUCAUCUUUUGAAAGAAUGCCUCUACUUCUUCAGAACUCACCAGCUUCUUAGGCGGGAAACGCUUUCUAGCGGCAUUGUUCACCUCUUCUAAAUUGAAAUACUUCCCAAUUGGGUUGUUUUCUUGAACUUCUUGCCAGAUUUCUUUGCCUUUGUAGGUCACUGCUGAUUUGUUAUAGUUCCAGGGUACAACGGUAGGAUCUGUCAUGGGCUGUUAUGGUGCGCGACCGAUAACCACGGGCUCACUCAGCCUUGGUGGAUUUAUUGGCUCCCGCAUCACAUAAGUCCCCAUGGGCACAUACAUUUGGACUGUCUUGUUUAGCUCGAAUCUCCUAGGAGUACUUAAUGACAUCUAUUUUUCUUUGCAGCCUUGAGGGACAUAGAGAAUAGCAUCUUUGGGGGGCGGUUCCCUGGUUUUAACUUCUAUUUUCUUCUCCAACUUCUAAGGGGUGUUUUUAUUCUUUUUCUCCUCCUUGUAUUGCUUUGGAGCAACCUUUGGGUUCUUUUCUACAUCAGCUAUGGCAAUGAUGGCCUUCAACAUUGGGUUAAACUUCUUAUCCUCACAAAUCAUUCUAAUUACCGGCCCGUUCUUGUAGGCCGGUAAUGGGUUGUUGGUUACAUUGGGAAUAUCUUCAUCUCUCAGCACUAUUUUCCUUUGUUCUAUCAAGUUCUCCACAGCUCUCUUCAGAGUCCAACAAUCAUCUAAUUCAUUUCCUUCUACCUCUGAUUGGUAGGCGCAUUGGGCACCAGCUCUAUAAGUCAGCGGUGUCGGGUUCUUCCAGGUUUUGGGAACAAGCUGCAGCAAACCCAUUUGAACAAGUUUUGGUAACAGGCUGGAGUAAGAUUCACCAAUAGGAGUGAAAUUUGGCCUCUUGGGUGGUUCACUAGUGUGGAAAUUGUUUUGUAAAGGUCGGGGUUUGUAGUGAGUUUUGUAAGGAGGUUGGUUUUGUAGGAAAUAGAGCUUGGUUUCGAUUGGCUUAUUAUUGUGACCGGACAUAAGGUGAGCAUUCGUUACAGUGUAUAGAUGAGGAGUAUAGGCCACAUCUUUGUGGGGGUAAGUGUUGCAGGGUUCUUUUAGAGAAAAUAGAUCUGGGAGUAUGGUGCUUUCUUGACCUCGAAGCUGGCAUUGAUGUUUUUUCCUUUUUAUUUCUAUUUGAUACUCCUCUAGACGCACCCUGGAUGGCUUGUUAGGAAGACCUAAUAGCAUAUUGGCUCAAAAUUUGACCUGUUUUCAACCCAUUUUCAACCAAUUCUCCAAUAUUGAUAGCCUCAGCAAACGUCUUACCCAUUGCAGACAUCGUGUUUUGGAAGUAAUCAGCCUCUUGGGCUUGGAGGAAAACCAUGACCAUUUCGAUCUCAUCCAUCAGAGGCUUUACCCUGGAGGCCUGCUCACGCCAUUUAACAGCAUACUCUCGGAAGAUUUCCGAGGAUUUGUUACUAUUCGGAGCAAUAUCAAUGUUGUACUGAAACCGCCUGACGAAAUAUCGAGCAAGAUCAUCCCAGAUAUGCCAGUGGGAUAUAUCUUGGUCCAUGUACCUCUCGGACGUGAUGCCAACUAAACUUUCUCCAAAGUAGGCCAUAAGGAAUUCUUCCUUUCCACUUGCUCCUCGCAGCUGGUUGCAAUAUCUUUUGAGAUGGGCAAUAAGAUCACCAUGCCCAUCAUACUUCUCAAAUUUUGGGGUUUUAAAUCCCAAUGGUAGAUGCACAUGAGAAAAUAUACAUAGGUCAGCAUAAGAUGCACUUUUCUGUCCACUCAAGCCUUGUAUGCUUUUAAGACUAUUCCAUACUCCUCAUCUUUCUCGCAAUCUCUUCUUGCUCAGGAGUUUUGGCGGCCCUUUCUUGACUCGCGAUGAACUCAUACCGGGGUGGUUGAGAGUAUGUGUCGGAGGGAAACUAUGUGGUUCCACUGGGAAGGAGGGUGUUUGGAAGGUGAAAGAUGAUCGUUCAAAGCUAGGCUUGGGCAGUGUAGCAUGUGCCAUAGCCGAGCAAGAUGGGGCGGUGAAGAUAUUUGAAGCUGCACCGGACAUUAAUACUUGGGGGCGAACCUCGGAAGGUGUUCCCACAAAAUGAGCUGAGAUAGUAUGGUAUCCUAACGGUGUAUUUGGGUGACUAAUUGGGACAUUAGAGAUACCGCUUUCCCUAGGAAAGAGUUCAGAGAAUCCCGGGAUUGCGCUGUGGGCUCUUUUCCAUUUGCCCAACCGUACCAUAUUUCCAUAAUACGGAGAUGCCAGAUUCAGUUUUCUUCGGCAGCUGCCGAUUCUAAUGUUGGGAUGCCUAAAUUGGACUAUCCUCCAUGACGGGAAUUGUUGGCAGAGUCACUUCAGAAGACAUUUCAAUGCUUUCUUUCGAUCUUGUAAAGAAUGGGUGCAAAUCCAUAUUACCACAAAAAUCAACCACCAUACUAUAUAAACUUGGACUGGGAUCACAACAACAAAACGGUUAGUUUAAAACAAAUACCACAUAGGUAUUCGCACGUUGGGGUGUGAUGCACCUAUGCAGUUAAAUGUGUUUCUACAUUUUUUGCAACGGUUUCAUGUUCCAUCCUGACUUUUCCAAUUCUUCUUCUUUCCACUUUCAAACUUCCACUCUUUCCCUUUUAUCUCUUUCUUAUUUUUCUUCUUUUUUUGCUUUUCUUCUAUCAUUUUUUUCUUUUUCUUAUUUGAAUUAUUCACAAAUUUAUGACCGGAUCUGAUGAGGAUUGCCUAGGUAUCACGACACUGCAUGAAUCAGAUCGUUACAUAGUUCUAGAAAAAGUAAGUGCAAAAAAUAAAGAAAUAAUUUUUGGGAAACUUGGAAUGUAAAACUAUGAAUAGACUCAAAAUAAACCAAAAUACAGACUCGAUAAAUGAAAAAUCAGGAAUACAUUAAAGCUUCAACUCCUCGGGCCCAUGGGACAUAAUUCGGUCUCGCCAUGGGCCUACGUGCGAGAUCCCCUUGUAACCACUCCAAAUCACGCAUUAUCUGGCGGACGAAUGUCAUCACUGCAACCAACAAGGUGGUUCGAGUCACAUUCUCACAUUCUUGGCAUUUUGCGACGAUGUAUUCGACAAUAGCUCUAACAACCUCUCGGAUCCUACCAUUUUCUUGAAGUAGACGCCCGAUUUGUUGACUCCUGGAUUCUAACACCUGAGUGUCACGAUGGUUUAGAUUUUGCAGCUGUUGCAUUUCCUCCUCCAUCUGAUCCAUCAGAGCAUAACAAUGUUCCCUAGCAGCUUUAAAGUCGUUGCUUGCUUAGUCACCUCGUUCUCAAGGGUGGUUAACUUUCUUCUCAUAUUGGUGAUUGUCCCUUCAUAUUUUCUCUUCAUUUGUUGCACAAAUUGUGUCCUCCCUUCUGCAUUCUUAGCCAAUUGGGCCCAGACUUUUGCUAGAUUGGCUUCAGAGUUUUCUAGAUCAUCUUGACUCUCAAGGGCUUUCUUUCUCAAAUUGCUUAAUCCUUUCAUCUUCUCGGCUUCUUUUCGGGUUUCUGACUGCUAUUCUUAUUUUCUGGAUUUGAGCUUUGAGUACUUCAUAUUCUUGAGUUAGCUUUUUAUUUUCUCCUUCGUCUACGGCAGCUUGGAUACUCUUGGAAAAUUCGAAAUCCCUGAUUUGUUCUUCUAACUUACUAAUUUGGCCCUGUAGCUUUCUUCUUUUGACGACCAGCCCCCAGUUUUUAUGAGUCGUUAGUGAAUUGUUGAAUGUGGGCUCUCUUAGCGGAUCUCUUAGGAAUCUAAAACCUUUUGCUGAACUAAACAAUGUACUUGGGGUCCACCUCACCUCUAGCUAUAUCUCACAUCAUAGUCUUAGGUUCGAGAAAUCAGCAUUUAUUCCACACCUGGCGAAUUCUUCCUUCUGGAAAUACGACAUUUGGUUCCAAUUCGAUGACAUGUCUACUAAAAUCUUCGUCAUGGGGAAUGGUUUGAAAUCGACCCAGCUGGUGCAAAACCCUAUGAGAAGCAUAUGGUUGGAUACUCUGGAUGCCAAUUAGGAGAAGAUAACACACUUCGGCAUACUGCUUCGGUGAUAGGAAGCCAUCCGAAAGCCCACUCAAUUUAUUGGCAAUCAAAGAGCUCAAGUGUGCAAACCAAGCCUCAAUACCAUCGAAGAAGUCAACACCCACUAAUUGACUUUCAAAUUAUUCAACGCAACUUAAAAUGGUCAUAUAGUAAUUCCUAUACCCAACUCGGUGGAAGAGAUGCUCCUGUAUCCAUAAUUAUAGUAACAGAUUGCAGCCUUGGAAGAAUUUUCGCCCUUCUCAAAAAUUGGUUAAGGCUUGCUAAAUUUCAGAUAAGAUCAGGGGAACCACAGUGCCAUUAGCUUUCUUGAUUGGAUCAUCAACCAUUCCCAUGAAACCCACUUCUAUAUUACCAUCUUCUUGCGGACAGAUUACAAUACCCAAGAAUGCUGCUACAAAAGCCAAACCACGCCUUGCCUCCCAUUUAUCUUUAUUUUCGGCAUGGUUCAAACCAGUAUUCGGUGCUUCAAAACCUUGAGGGUUACUAGAACGUUGAUACAAGAACUGGAAAGUACAAUAUCCUUCAGAAAAAUUUCCAUCCUGAAUAUCCCAACUAAUACUUAGCAGAUCCGGAAAAUUGGUAGGGAGAUACUGAUUUUGGCGACACUGGGUAUCGACUUCUAAGGUUUCCGUUAAGGCCAGCAUAACCUGCAAUUUCCUCUAGUGUGGGUGUGAGCUCGAAGUCAGAAAACAAGAAAACAUUGUGAGUUGGAUCCCAAAAAGGUAUUAAGGCUUCGAUAAUGUCCAACCUUGGCUUGAUGUUCAAAAGUCUGAUGAGACCACCCAAAACCUUUACCAGAGUUUCUCUACUACCUUUUCCUAAUAAUUUCACUACAUAUGAAGCAGUAAGGGGACCUCUUUAAGAGUUGUGAAGGAUUCGUUUUCAUUUGUGCUCAUCUUGCACAUUUAUUAAGGUGAUUUAAUAACUUAGUUUGACUCAAAAACAAAAAGGGAAGACUAUUUUUUUUUCAAAAUUUUAAUUCAAAAUAAAAUCCACUUUUGAAAUACGGCCUUUCAGCACUUCGAGAAAGAAGAUGUUAAGGUUGUGCCUGCUGACUGGCUAAAAAUUUUAAAAAACAACCAAAGGUGGUUGUUCUCACAAAACGGCCUUUCGGCUACCUUUUUAGUACAUUCGGCUUGUUUUAAAGAAGAAUGGCAUCAUCCUGUUUAUUUGUGAUAAAAAUAAAAUUUUUAUUCUUUCUGGGCUAUUUUUGCAAUAGGGAAGUUGGACCCCAUGGGGGUUGCCUAUGUAUCCCACAUCCGAUGAGAAUCAAACUAGCGUAGUUCGGGAAAUUUUAAUAAAAACAACUAUUUUUUGAAAACAAAAUUUUCUUCUUUUUCAAUUUUUUUUUCAAGAACUCAACAUAGUUUCAGUAUGUUUUGGACAUUGGUUUUUUCAAAAGCGGAUAAUUAUUCCUCUUAACCCUCAUACUAUUAUUUUCUUUUACCACUUUUUUUCUAUCAUUCACAAGCCGGUCAACAUGACAAUUUGAAGCAAAUAAAUGCACAAGUAGCAAGUAGGAUGCAUCAGGAUGGUCUUUUCAUUUCAGGUACCGGUAUAUUUUUGAAAACUGGUUUUUUCAAAAAUAAGCAAUUAUCUCUCUUAACCCUCACAUUGAAUUUUCUUUUCCCAACUUUCAUUUUUUCCAACAAGCCGGUCAACAUGAAAAUUCGAAGCAAAUAAAUGCACUAGUAGCAAGUAAGAUGCAUCAGGAUGGUCAUUUCAUUUCGGGUACACCUGUUUUAGACAGACCCAACCCCUAUGUUGAGUCUCCUAAGUCAAAUGCACGUGAUGCAAAUAAACGUUCCUACUAGGGAUUCAGCAUGAGAUUUUAUUAUACUAGGUUUAAAACCUAGGUAUAUUAUUCUAGACCUGGCUUACCCGAGCGGAAAACUCGAGCCGGGGAGGGGGAGGGGCAGCGUACCCGGAAUAUAAAAGCUUCACCAGCUUUGCAGCUUAUCCAAAUCUCAUUCUAAAGUUUGGGAUAAGACUCUAACAAAAAAGAAGUUACACGAAGUGCACACUUCCCAGAUGAUUUAGAAGACUCAGAGAGAAGAAGGAUUUCAUAGCACUUUAUAUACAGUUCACAAAAUAUUAAAGCAAUAAAAGCAUUUAGCACAUUAAACUCAAACACGUAGGAAAAUCAGAUAAUAAAUAAGGCCAAUCACAACAGCUAUUCUGAGCUCGAAUUCUUAAACCAUGAACCAAUGUUCUGGGUUUGUGUCCCCAGCACAGUCGGUAGAGCUGUCACACCUCGAUUUUUACACACCAUCCCGAAAGGUAGUGUAUAAGGGAGUUUUUCCAAUUUAAAUGAUAUUAUUCGAAAUGAGAUUAUUUAUUUAUUUUUUGUUUAGAGUCGCUACUUGGGAUGGUUUGUUUUUUGGUGUCCCAAGUCACUGGUUUAUUUUAAAUCCCAAAUUGAGGAAAUUUCGACUUUUCUUAUGAGAUAUGCGAACUAGAAAUUCUAAAUAAGGAAUUUUGUUAAUCCCGGAGAACGUGUUAGGUACCCUCGUAUUCUAUGGUUCUAGGGUGGCCGCUUAAAUUAUUGCAAGUGGCCUACUAUCUGAUUUUAAUACAUAUUUUAACCUUAUUAAACUACCUUUAAUUAAUUUUUCGUAAAUUUUCAACGUCAUCUAAAAUGCAUUUUUGGACCACGCUACAUGAAAUGCACCCGCAGUCCGGGACACAUUUUAUUUAACAUUGUGAGAUUUGGAUUUGGGUCACAUGAAAUUCACAUCCGAGUUUAGGAAGGUAAAUUAUUAAAGUAAUGCGCCUAUAGCAACUACGCAUUUUUAACUUUACGAGGGCCAUGGAAAAUUUGUUAAAUGGCACACCUCGAGUUCUAAGGAUUUUAAAAGAAAUAAUUAAAUGAGGGCCAUGCAUUUGAGAUUUUAUUUGGCGCUGCGCACCUUGAUUCCAAUUUUAAAAAUGGAAUUCCAAUUAAAUUUCGAAGUGUCACAAACUAUUUGUGUUAUCUAAUAUUGCUCACCUCCAUUAUUUGAAGAAAUUUAAUUAUCCUAACAUUAAUAGUCUUGGGAUUCUAUUGCUGCCUAAGCUAAAAACGACAUUACAACUUGAAAGAAAGGCUGAUUAUUUGGCGCGACUCACCUCGAUUCCAAUUUAAAAAAGGUAAUUCAAAUUAAAUUUUGAAGGGCCAUAAAUUAUUUUUGUUAUCUAAUAUGGCUCUCCUUCACUAUUUAAAGAAAUUUAAUUAUCUUAACAUUAAUGGGGUUGGGAUUCUGUGGCUGGCUGAGCUAACUAAAUACGACAUUACAACUAGAAAGAAAUGCUGAUUAUUGAAAAGCUAUUUGGGCUGGACAUAAGGCCCAAUAGCCUAUGAAAUGCAAGGCUGUCCCAGAUCAAUAAUUUCAUAGUAGAAUCACGUUGGGCUUUAAUGAGGGCCCAAAUUGGGGAAUAAAUCGGCUCCAGCAAGUUAGAGACUCAAGAUCGAGUCUUACAUGGCACAAAGCGUAAGGCAUUUGAAGGUGUUAGUCACAUUGUUGCAUGAAAGUCCAAAGCAAAUACUGAUCCUCCCUUCACAAAAGCCAUAGCAUAUUUAAAAUUGAUUUAUAUAAGAAAAUACAAUCAGACAGUAGUCCCCUUUUUGUCAUCUAGCAUUCAGUAUCAUUCUCAGCAUGCAUAGUAUCACAACAACAGAACGUGAGAAAUAUCUGCUAUUUGAUACUCAUACAUGAAUCUAUAUUUCAACCUAAAAAGUGGACAAAACUAAAAUCAGAAAUUUAAACUAAAUAUACCACUGAUCUCGACUGCACUAACACAGAUGUGGCACUUAUACUUUGAUUGAAAAUAUUCAGAUUCUAACUCAUGCAAACCAAGGGAGCUAAGCCCAUAAUUUACUCCACUAGCACAAACGAAUUCAAUAGCAAGAACAAAGAUGAGUACACAAGAACAGAAUCCAACACCUGAUUACAAAAUCCAAAAAAACACAAGAAAGCAGCAUUCACUAACUCAACAUGAUAUGGAUUUCAAUUACAGCCCAUUCUUUGAUAAAUACAUUAAUCAGAAUCCAACUGUUACAUGCUAAUCAUGAAAUUGAAAGAAAAAGAGAUGAAGUUAAAAAACAACAUCACAUUUCAUCCCAUUUUAAACUCAUGAUUCAAGUUACACAUCAAGUGAUAUCCAUAGGGCUGAAGAAUACCUGAAAAUAAGAGAAAAAGAGGUGGAGAAAGCAGUAAACAACAACAGCAAAAGCACAUUAGUACAGAUGCAACAAUGAUCCCCAGUAGCUUGAAACCCAGACUUUAAAAGGCUAAAUUCAAUCCAUUUCCACACUCAAAUGAGUCAAAAUUGUUUCAGAGAUUAAAAAAAUAAAACAUCACUGAAGAAAUUCAAUGAAACGGUAAAAAGUCCAAUCGUUCGAAUUUUCUGGAUUUUUCUUUCAAAGUCUCCUCUAAAUCCCUAAAAUAUGCCUUGAUUGUGAAGAAACAAUGCCCUUUAUAGGGAGUCUUAGGGCAGCCUUAAGGGUUAAGUUUUUGCACUUUGCCCUUUUCUAAUUUUGGUUGUUGCUACUUAAUCCCUGAAAUUUUCACUUGCUUGCCAAGUAAGGUUGCCUUUCAGCUUCUAGGAAGCUUCCUAGGCAGUUAUUAGAGAUUCCUUCUCCUAAAUUCCUAGACUACCUUAAACUUCUUCUUUUUACUUUCAAGAAGUCACUCUAGGGUCAAGUUAACCCAGGACCCCACCCAACCCAUGGGCUUAUAUAAUAACAACCCAGAUUGAUUCUCAAACCAUCAAGGCAUGGACUCAAACAGAAAUUUCAGCACACAAACCCUGAAUUGAAACAAUGGACUUCAAAAGAACACUCGAAAACAAUAGCUUGUAAACAAAUACCCUUAACUAACUAGGCCUAUUAUUGACCAAAAGAGAUAGUCGAUGAGAAAUUAAAUCAAAUAUAUUAUUAUGUUAACUAUUAAACACAAACUAGACCUUAAUUUAACAAAACUGGAGACCUAAUGACCUAAUGGAAAACUUAUGAUUUCAAAGCUAAAAUAAUUGACUAAAAUAACACUAGUUAAACCAUUUCAAUUUCCAGUCUAAAGAAAAACAGAGAGAGUAGAAGAAGAUGAUGAAAGAGGACGGUGAGAAGAUAGAAGAAAAGAAAAAAAGGAAUUGAGUAGCUAACCAAGACUGUCUGGCUGUUCGACUAGACCCGUAUUCUUCGAUUUAAAUCCAAUAAGAGAUGUUAAAUGAAUGUUCCCCUUUGAGAACAAAAAAGGAACACCUUUUUCCGGCUCAAACCAUUUUAGAAACUCAUGCAUGCCCGCCCAGAUUUGACCUUGUGAGGUUUGAGGAGGAUUUGAUUUUCAGAUUUAAGAUUCGACGAGAUAGGGGCUGGAGAUUUGGGAUGAGGGGACGAAGAGGGUUUUAGGGUGUUAUUUUUGUGGUGGUUGGUAGCGGCGCCGCCGCCGGAGAAAACAAGGGUUGCGCAAGGGUUUCGCCCUUUGGUCCAAAAUUUGAGAGGUUUCAGAUGAAUUUGAGGAACGUUCUUUAGAUAUUUUGGAUGAGGAGGCAGAGAGGAAUAAAUGGUAUAGUUUUGGGGGUGAUUGGCCACCAGCCACCGCCGUGGGCUAUUUUUGGUGGGCAACGGACAGUGGCUUUAGGAUGGCGUUAGGUUGGUCUCUAAGGAUGUGUGAGAGACGAUGGGGGGUGUAGGUGAACGUUUAGACAUAUAUAUGUUAAUAGAUGGUUCAGUUCUAAACCGUUAGAUUAAUGAGAUCCAGUGGUCGAGAUUAAAAAGGGAAAAUAGGGUCAUUUGGAGAGUAAGGGGAGGAGGACCAGGUUUAAAUGUGGGUCUGGGACGG